GAAGGAAGCAUGGGCUGGACAGGCUGGACGUGAACUCUGACUGUUUUGAAGGUCUUGGACGCCCCGCCCGAGUUUGCGCAUGCGCCUAAGCAAAGAUGAGGAAACUGAGGCUCAGAGACGGAAAGUGAGUGGCUCAAGAUAAC